GAAAAUAAAAAUCAUUUAAAAUAAAAAAAAUUAUAACAGGGUUAACUGAUGAGAGCAUAGAACCUCAAACUUGAGAGACAUGAGAUCCUUUAAAAAAGUAUCUUAGAAAAAAAAAUAGAAAAAAAAAGUAUCUUAGAGCUGUGUGUGUGGGCUGAUAUAUUUUCUGAUGAUUUAUUUUGCAUCAUAAUAAGCUAUAUUAUGAUGUAACUGAAAUACUUAGGUAUGUACAUAAUUCCUGUACAACUGUUAACACCGAAACAAAUGUACAAAUACAAAACCGCAGAGCCAGUUAGCAUCAUCAACACGUGAUCUGAGCAGUAAAGGAUUAGGAGAGGCCCUCUGGCAAGUGGACGAAGCUCCGGAACGUUCUGGAAGGACCCCUCUUCACAGAUGUGCCUGCAAGCUGAGCAUGAAGGGUAGCAAAAAGUUGUGUGUCAAAAGCAAAACAACUCUUGCUUCAUGCGUGUUCACUCUGAGAAUAGCUUAUGGCUGGAGUUAAAGCAAAUUUAGAAACAAGUUGUUGAUUUUUCCAAAAUAAGAUCCCAAUCAAAUCUUCUUUUUUAGUUUUGUUUUAAGUUUUGAGUUGGAUUUUGGUCCCCGCUUUCUUUACUUCAUUUUUAUUUUUUUUGACCACACCUGUGGCAUGUGGAAGUUCCUGGGCCAGGGCUUGAACCUGAGCCACAGGAGUUGCAACACCAGAUCCUUAACUGCUAGGCCACCAGGGAAUGCCUGGUUUCCACUUUAAGUCAAUCCAUCAUCAGAGGCCCUUUUCUGCUCCCCAUCUUCUCUAGAUGAGGGGUGCCGGUGGUCCCUGCUCUCGAACGAUCAUGAAGUGGAGAACAUGAGCUGAACAAAGGCCAAGGAGGCAGGAGUUCGGGGGUCCUGAUGCCCACGCUGAGACGUGUCUUAUGAAAUGGCUCCGGGCCCACAAGUCUCCACCUAUGACCAUCAAGAUGGAAAAAAAAUUUUUUUUGGGGGGGGGGCACGAAAACAGUACUUGUCAGGUCUAACCCUAGAGAACCUGCCACUUCUUCCAGGAAAAACUCACUGCUGUGAAUAGUGAAAGCUAAAGACUCUGCUCUUGGCACCAGGCUCCUCUUGCCCAUGGACCAGCCCCUCUAUGUUGGUCAUUUUUAAUACGAUGACAGAUUCUGCUGUCCCGCAAGCCCAUCUGCUGGGCCAGGCCAAGCCAGGCUGGAAGGCGGGCCUGGCCCAGGACUAGAGGCGGGAUUUGCAGUGAACACCAUGACUCAGCGAGGACAGAGAGAGAGCUCCCUAGACACUCACUUUGCGAGACUUGAGGUGGCCAACCUGAAACCAGGCAGCCUCUCUCUCUGAUUUCCAGGCAGAGGCUUGGAUUUCUUCCUGGCCCUGCACGCAUGUAGAUGUGCUCAGCUCCUUAUCCCUGGUCCGUGGUUAUCCAACUUUACUACACUUAUUACAGGGCAGAAAGGCAAAGUAAAAUAAAGUAAAAUGGUCUUGAGAUGUUUCAGAGUUUGGGGUGGAUUAAGCGCCCCCGCAGCUUGUGGCCGGGGGUGGGGGCUCUCUGCCCAGGUCUCGGGGCUGUACAGCUUGCAGGUCUAGCUCAGCUUCUGUCCACUAAAGCCAAUGGCGUGAUAGCGUCUAGGCUGGGUGCUGUUUUCCAAGGUGCGCGGUCUUAAACAAACAUGCUCCCUGGCAGAGGAACCAGGGAGGUCAGAAGACAGGCACGGCAAAGUGAAUCAACCCCCCUGCAUUUGUUCUCGGAGUUUAAUUUUAUUGGGCAAAUAAUUGACAGGCCAUGGCCUUUGCUCAGCACCUGAGCCUCAGCUCAGCUCACACCAAGCCGAGCAGAGGCAUCAGCGUUUCUGAGAAGUCGAUGAGCAAGGCUGCUUGGGGACCACGGUGAGAUAAACAGGUGGCUGAGCCCGGUGUUAUGCCUUGAAGGUCUGUGAGCACGGCCUGGGAGCUGCCAUGGAGGUUCUUACAGGUCUCCGUCAGGGAUGGAGCCAGUGGGCAAAAUGCCAGUGUGUGAAAAGCAAACGGGAGGAUGAGCUACAGAAUUCCGAGUCAUCAGUGUCCCGGGAUUUGCAGGGCUGUGUGAGGAUGGCUGUGUGCCUGGUCCAUGAUGUGUCGUGGGCCUCUGAGCGUCCCGUUGCCCAAGGAUGCCAACCGUCCCCUCUCGCCUCCCUGCCAUCCAUUUAAUCUUCCCCCACCCCUGACCUGAAGCCCCUUGUCCUCCACCCUCGAAGCCUUUGUUUUAGCUGCUUUUUUGUGCUGGGAAUCCUGUGUCCUGCUCUCUGCUUGGCUGGCUCAUUAUCAGCCUUCAGACCUUGGUUCAAAUGUCGCCUCCCUCUUAGCCAGCCCAUCGAAGGGGCCUCUCCCACCCACUCCCCAUCACAUCACGCUGUUUGCUUUCCGAGCCACACGCUGCAGUCAGCCUGGUAAUGCUGUUAGGUAUUGAUUUACUUGUUCAUUGCCUGUCGUCCCCCUGGAACGGAAGUUCAACAAGACUACGGAGUCUAGUUCACAGCUGUCCUCAGGGCCUCAUGAGCUCCCAGCUCGUGGUGCAAGUUUUACAAGUGUUUACUGAAUAUAUAAAUAAGCCAGCAUGGUUGCGUUGAAGCAAAAUCUAGGAAAAGUAGUUAGCCCAUCCAAAACAUGUACUUUGAACCUUGUUUGUUUUAUAUCAAAAGGAGCAUGUCCAGUGGGCUUUGCUCAAGGGCCUGCCACAUGUCCUCUAGCGUUUAAACCUCCCGUGACCCUCUGACAUGGUUCAGAUGAGAGGCUCUUCCUCAUUUUAAGUAUUUUCCUGUUUGAACUCUAGGAAAGGAAAUGCACCCUUUCUGAAUGAAUCAACCUCUUCCAAGUGGACUUCCCAGAAGACUCAAAAAGAACGCAGCUAUUUCUUUGCAUUUGUCUUCAUUGCUUAAAUGUUUCAAAAGAACAUCCCCGAUACUUUUCGUGUCUUGAAAUUAUCAUCUAAUUGUGAUGAGAAGAAAAUCUCUGUUUAGCCCAGAAGGAAGAGUUGUCUCCAACUUUAACAGUUUCUAAAGUGACAUUCCUAGAAGGAAAUAAAUGAAAAUCCCUUAAAACUCUGUAUAUUCUUUGAUCUAGAAAUUCCUUUGCUAAUAAUUUAGUCUGAGGAAAUAGCAAGGGAGCAAUUUCCAAAAUUUGGGGAGGCUGGGUUCAUACUAUCCAAACUUCUUCUCUUUUGCAGGACUUCUCAGAGCCUUGAAUAUGCACAUUCAUGCAGUGAAUAUUUGGGAAAGGGCCUCAGAACAAAGAAUUACUCAGAUUUAUUUGGCAGAGUUGUUUAACUAUAAGAAUGUUUCUUCCACAACUGUUUACUAUAGAAAAAUCAGAAAAAAAA